rnacentral:lncRNA from 1 species
ACAGGACCCAAGCCAGAUGCCCCUCUCACUUGGGCCCUGCCCCGAUUUCAUGCUUGACUCUGAGUUCACUCAACAGGAAGCAUUCUGGCAAAUCUUUUCAAAAGCUGGAAUCAAACUAAGCAAUGCACAGAAGCCAAAGGGACAGGGAAGACUGGAAUCCUGGAAUGUCGAAGAUCUCUGAAGUCCCUGCCACUUGCGCAUCUGGACACUCACUGGUAGAGGAGGCAGAAGAGACUGAAGCCUGAAUUCUCUCCCAAAAUGUAACCACUAAACCUCCAUGGAAAUAAUAGUUUGCUGAUUAAAUUUCUGCACAUGCUGUCCUGAAAUAUUAAUACAUAAAUUAGGCUGACAAUUAGAAACACUAUAAAUAACAUGUUUAAUUUGAUAGCUUGGCUACUAUAAUAAAUUUAAUAACUAUUUUUCUUGCUAUAUUCAUUUUCACCCUGGGGUUAAGUGACACUGGCUAAAGUGCUUCUGGAACAAGAAGCAUUUGCAGAAGUAAAGUAUGAAAUUAAUUUUCCUUGCACUGGCUUUAGUCCUGUUGAUAUAAAGGAACCACAUAAAACAUUUCACA